GGAUGUGGACAUGAAGCUAGAGUUAGGAUUAGGUUUAUUGCUAGGGUUAGGGUUGAACCAGGAUGUGGACAUGAAGCUAGAGUUAGGAUUAGGUUUAUUGCUAGGGUUAGGGUUGAACCAGGAUGUGGACAUGAAGCUAGAGUUAGGAUUAGGUUUAUUGCUAGGUUUAGGGUUGAACCAGGAUGUGGACAUGAAGCUCGGGUAAGGAUUUGGAAUAUUGCUAGGGUUAGGGUUGAACCAGGAUGUGGACAUGAAGCUCGG
ensembl:lncRNA